AGAUGAUCACAUCUGUCUUUGUCAUUUAAAUGAGGUGGACUUGCAAACUUUGCGCUCUUUUGGAUUUCAAGACAGAGCUUAUUGUUCUCUGAACUUCCUUGUUUGCUGAAUGGCAGGUUGAAGCAGAAUUUGCCCGUCUUACAUCUGUUGACCUGAAAGGGUUCCUUUUUGCUGUGCUUGACCAUUAUGGAGAGGUUCGUGGAGCUGUACAAAAUCAAGAGCGGCAUAGGAGGGCUAACUAGGCUCAUAAGAUGCUUCAAUGAUGAUAGCCCUACACAAAGGAAGAGGACAGAGGACCUCAUUUUCUAAAGGAAGAUCCCUCACACACUUUCAAGACUGUGAAGCCGACAGGUAUUGAAGACACGUUUUCUAAGAGGAUGAAAGUUGGCAUUGCGAUGGUGAAAGAAGAAGACAUCAUCGAUGUGUUGGUUGUCCUUGAGGCGGCAGUAAUCCUGUCUAAUCUGAGGAAUGUCUCAAGUGCCAUUUCC
ensembl:lncRNA